rnacentral:rRNA from 1 species
GAUGAACGCUGGCGGCGUGCCUAAUACAUGCAAGUCGAGCGAACAGACGAGGAGCUUGCUCCUCUGACGUUAGCGGCGGACGGGUGAGUAACACGUGGAUAACGUACCUAUAAGACUGGGAUAACUUCGGGAAACCGGAGCUAAUACCGGAUAAUAUAUUGAACCGCAUGGUUCAAUAGUGAAAGACGGUUUUGCUGUCACUUAUAGAUGGAUCCGCGCCGCAUUAGCUAGUUGGUAAGGUAACGGCUUACCAAGGCAACGAUGCGUAGCCGACCUGAGAGGGUGAUCGGCCACACUGGAACUGAGACACGGUCCAGACUCCUACGGGAGGCAGCAGUAGGGAAUCUUCCACAAUGGGCGAAAGCUUGACGGAGCAACGCCGCGUGAGUGAUGAAGGUCUUCGGAUCGUAAAACUCUGUUAUUAGGGAAGAACAAAUGUGUAAGUAACUAUGCACGUCUUGACGGUACCUAAUCAGAAAGCCACGGCUAACUACGUG